UACGGGAGGCAGCAGUGGGGAAUAUUGCACAAUGGGCGAAAGCCUGAUGCAGCUAUGCCGCGUGUAUGAAGAAGGCCUUAGGGUUGUAAAGUACUUUCAUCGGGGAGGAAAAAACAAAAACUAAUAAUUUUAUUUUCUUUGACGUUACCCGAAAAAGAAGCACCGGCUAACUCCGUGCCAGCAGCCGCGGUAAUACGGAGGGUGCUAGCGUUAAUCAGAAUUACUGGGCGUAAAGAGCACGUAGGUGGCUUUUUUAAGUUCAGAUGUGAAAUCCCUGGGCUUAACCUGGAACUGCAUUUUUGAAACUGAAAUACUAGAGUAUCGUAGAGGGAGGUGAAAUUCUAGGUGUAGCGGUGAAAUGCGUAGAUAUCUGGAGGAAUACCUGUGGCGAAAGCGGCCUCCUAAACGAAUACUGACACUGAGGUGCGAAAGCGUUGGGGAGCAAACAGGGGAUUUAGAUACC
rnacentral:rRNA from 1 species